GAAUCUCCGAACGACAACAACUAUGACAACAGAGACUAUUAAGUACGGCAUGAGAACUUAAAUAAGCAGUUCAUGAUGAUUUAAAUUUAUAUAAUUUGUGUUAUUGUUUAUCAUGUUUUGUUAUCAUGUUAUGUUGUUUGUUAUUUUAUGAGCUAUGUAUUUCAAUUUAAAUGUCCCGUCCUGUAUUUCAUCAAUUAAAGUGUGU
rnacentral:lncRNA from 1 species